CGCACAUUGCGCCCUCUGGUAUUCCGGAGGGCAUGCCUGUCCGAGCGUCAUUAUCAACCCUCAAGCCUGGCUUGGUUUUGGGUCUCGUCGGCUCGACUGCUGGACGGACUCAAAAGGGAAUGACCGAUCCUCUGGACUCCGGAUGCAGCGAGCUCUUAGCAUGCGUUACGGUGGUCGUCAGGCUCCGGUCUAAUCAACAUUUUCUGAUUGACCUCGGAUCAGGUAGGGAUACCCGCUGAACUUAA
rnacentral:misc_RNA from 1 species